CGAAGGAUGCAAGCGUUAUCCGGAUUCAUUGGGUUUAAAGGGUGCGUAGGCGGACUUGUAAGUCAGUGGUGAAAUCUCUCAGCUUAACUGAGAAACUGCCAUUGAUACUGCAGGUCUAGAGUAUAGAUGACGUUGGCGGAAUAUGACAUGUAGUGGUGAAAUACUUAGAUAUGUCAUAGAACACCGAUUGCGAAGGCAGCUAACGAAACUAUAACUGACGCUGAGGCACGAAAGUGCGGGGAUCAAACAGGAUUAGAUACCCUGGUAGUCCGCACCGUAAACGAUGAUUACUCGUUGUUGGCGAUAUGACAGUCAGCGACCAAGCGAAAGCGAUAAGUAAUCCACCUGGGGAGUACGCCGGCAACGGUG
rnacentral:rRNA from 1 species